rnacentral:rRNA from 1 species
UACAGAGGGGGCAAGCGUUAUUCGGAAUUAUUGGGCGUAAAGAGCUCGUAGGCGGUCUGUCGCGUCUGCUGUGAAAACUCAGGGCUUAACCCUGAGCUUGCAGUGGGUACGGGCAGACUAGAGUGCGGUAGGGGAGACUGGAAUUCCUGGUGUAGCGGUGAAAUGCGCAGAUAUCAGGAGGAACACCGGUGGCGAAGGCGGGGUCUCUGGGCCGUAAACUGACGC